rnacentral:misc_RNA from 1 species
UUAGUUUAACAUCUCAUCUCGCACAACGCCCAUGUUGCAUCGGCAAAUAACUUUGAAGGUUUUUUCUCUAUUUAUUCUGAUGGGUCGUUCCGUAGUUUCCCCGUUAAGUCAACGUAGCCUGCGGGGAAAACGAGGAGCGAGCCUGCUUACUCUGCACUGAGCCCAAAUGUUCGCAUCCCUACAUCGAAGAGCCCCUUUGCGUUUUCAUAAAAAGGUGUCGACUUGGAUGUGGCUGCAAGUUUGGAUAUAUUCGCCAUGAUCUCGAUUACCGAUGCAUUUCCGUCCUGGAGUGCAAAAUGCCAGUGCGCCAGCUUAGCGUUCCCAUUUUUUAAAGUGUACUUAAUCAUAUUUCAUUUAAAUUCAAAUUCAUGCCUUU